UACGUAGGGAGCAAGCGUUGUCCGGAAUCAUUGGGCGUAAAGCGCGCGUAGGUGGCCUCAUAAGUCCGCUGUGAAAGACAAAGGCUCAACCUUUGAAAGCCGGUGGAUACUGUGAGGCUAGAGUACGGAAGAGGCGAGUGGAAUUCCUGGUGUAGCGGUGGAAUGCGCAGAUAUCAGGAGGAACACCAAUAGCGAAGGCAGCUCGCUGGGACGUUACUGACACUGAGGCGCGAAAGCGUGGGGAGCGAACAGG
rnacentral:rRNA from 1 species